rnacentral:rRNA from 1 species
UACAGAGGGGGCAAGCGUUGUUCGGAAUUACUGGGCGUAAAGGGCGCGUAGGCGGCCGCCUAAGUCAGACGUGAAAUCCCUCGGCUCAACCGGGGAACUGCGUCUGAUACUGGGUGGCUUGAAUCCGGGAGAGGGAUGCGGAAUUCCAGGUGUAGCGGUGAAAUGCGUAGAUAUCUGGAGGAACACCGGUGGCGAAGGCGGCUCACUCGGAGCCGGUACUGACGCUGAGGCGCGAAAGCGUGGGGAGCAAACGGG